AGCGAACGCUGGCGGCAGGCUUAACACAUGCAAGUCGAGCGCCCGUAGCAAUACGGGAGCGGCAGACGGGUGAGGAACACGUGGGAACGUACCCUUCAGUUCGGAACAACCCAGGGAAACUUGGGCUAAUACCGGAUAAGCCCUUACGGGGAAAGAUUUAUCGCUGAAGGAUCGGCCCGCGUCUGAUUAGCUAGUUGGUGAGGUAAUGGCUCACCAAGGCGACGAUCAGUAGCNGGUCUGAGGAGGAUGAUCAGCCACACUGGGACUGAGACACGGCCCAGACUCCUACGGGAGGCAGCAGUGGGGAAUAUUGGACAAUGGGCGCAAGCCUGGUCCAGCCAUGCCGCGUGAGUGAUGAAGGCCUUUAGGGUUGUAAAGCUCUUUCGUCAGGGAAGAUAAUGACGGUACCUGAAGAAGAACGCCCCGG
rnacentral:rRNA from 1 species